rnacentral:rRNA from 1 species
GGCGCGCCUAACACAUGCAAGUCGAACGAGAAAGUCCUUUUCGGAGGACGAGUACAGUGGCGAACGGGUGAGUAACACGUGGGUUACCUGCCCUUGAGUGGGGAAUAACUCCGGGAAACUGGAGCUAAUACCGCAUACGACCCUUCGGGGUGAAAGCUUUAUGCGCUCGAGGAUGGGCCCGCGGUCGAUUAGCUUGUUGGUGGGGUAAUGGCCUACCAAGGCUGCGAUCGAUAGCCGGCCGGAGAGGGCACACGGUCACACUGGCACUGAGACACGGGCCAGACUCCUACGGGAGGCAGCAGUGGGGAAUCUUGGACAAUGGGGGCAACCCUGAUCCAGCGACGCCGCGUGAUCGAUGAAGGCCUUCGGGUCGUAAAGAUCUUUCAGCGGGGACUAUCAUGAAGGUACCCGCAGAAGCAGGAGCGGCUAACUACGUGCCAGCAGCCGCGGUAAUAC